GCCUCUGUAGCUCAGUUAGAUAGAGCGAUUGACUCGUAAUCAAUAGGUCGGGGGUGCAACUCCCCCCAGUGGCU
rnacentral:tRNA from 1 species